GAUGAAGACGCAGCGAAAUGCGAUACGUAAUGUGAAUUGCAAAUUCAGUGAAUCAUCGAGUCUUUGAACGCACAUUGCGCCCCCUGGUAUUCCGGGGGGCAUGCCUGUCCGAGCGUCAUUGCUGCCCUCAAGCACGGCUUGUGUGUUGGGCCCCGUCCUCCGAUCCCGGGGGACGGGCCCGAAAGGCAGCGGCGGCACCGCGUCCGGUCCUCGAGCGUAUGGGGCUUUGUCACCCGCUCUGUAGGCCCGGCCGGCGCUUGCCGAUCAACCCAAAUUUUUUAUCCAGGUUGACCUCGGAUCAGGUAGGGAUACCCGCUGAACUUAAGCAUAUCAAUAAGCGGAGGA
rnacentral:misc_RNA from 1 species